rnacentral:tRNA from 1 species
CGCUAAGAAGCUAAAUCGGUCAACAGCAUUAGCCUUUUAAGCUAAAGAAUGGUGGCUACCAACCACCCCUAGCGGC